rnacentral:misc_RNA from 1 species
UAAUAUUCAUCUAUCAAAUGUACAAAUAUUCUCAAGAUUCAGAAGUUGACGCCAAGUCAGUAUUGCGAACAAAUCCACAAUAAAAGAACUGAUCAAUCUUAGUGCCUGAAAUCGACCAUUACAAGUAAAAGAAUAUUCCAUUCAUGAAGAAACUUCUGGAUCUACAAAAUGGUGGCCCCCCAUUGUAACUUCAUUUUAAUUUUUGAAAGGCACACCAAAACUGACUAUGGAAAUAACACAGCAUAUUUGCAUGCACGUUCGAAUUUUUGUCUUUACAUCAAGUAAUAUGAUACUUCUAACUUGCACCAAUUUCUCUGGGAUCA